rnacentral:lncRNA from 1 species
AGAUAUUAUCCACUUUGGCUCAAUCGACUCAGACUUUAGUGGGUCUUGUGGGCUCCAUAGAGGGUUAGCCUCUGUUGGUCUCAAUGGGCCUUGGCCAUUUCAAGCUUCAAGAUUUUACUCUUUAAAAGAUACGUCAUAGGAAAGAGAAGGUCCCAUUCCAUAUAAGCUAGAGUCCACUUUAACUAAAAAUCGUUGUAGAAUUAAAAGUCCCCACC